rnacentral:rRNA from 1 species
AUUGAACGCUGGCGGCAUGCUUUACACAUGCAAGUCGAACGGCAGCGCGGGCUUCGGCCUGGCGGCGAGUGGCGAACGGGUGAGUAAUACAUCGGAACGUGCCCCGUAGUGGGGGAUAGCUCGGCGAAAGCCGGAUUAAUACCGCAUACGACCUGAGGGUGAAAGCGGGGGAUCUUCGGACCUCGCGCUCUUGGAGCGGCCGAUGGCAGAUUAGCUAGUUGGUGGGGUAAAGGCCUACCAAGGCGACGAUCUGUAGCUGGUCUGAGAGGACGACCAGCCACACUGGGACUGAGACACGGCCCAGACUCCUACGGGAGGCAGCAGUGGGGAAUUUUGGACAAUGGGCGAAAGCCUGAUCCAGCAAUGCCGCGUGUGUGAUGAAGGCCUUCGGGUUGUAAAGCACUUUUGGCGGGAACGAAAAGGACUGUGCCAAUACCACGGUUCGAUGACGGUACCCGCAGAAUAAGCACCGGCUAACUACGUG